UACGGGGGGAGCAAGCGUUGUUCGGAUUUACUGGGCGUAAAGAGCUCGUAGGCGGCUGUUCAAGUCGAACGUGAAAACUCGGGGCUCAACUCCGAGCCUGCGUUCGAUACUGGACGGCUAGAGUCUGGUAGGGGGAUCUGGAAUUCCUGGUGUAGCGGUGGAAUGCGCAGAUAUCAGGAGGAACACCGGUGGCGAAGGCGGAUCUCUGGGCCAUUACUGACGCUGAGGAGCGAAAGCGUGGGGAGCGAACAGG
rnacentral:rRNA from 1 species